AUUGGACGCUGGCGGCAGGCUUAACACAUGCAAGUCGAGCGGAGAUGAGGUGCUUGCACCUUAUCUUAGCGGCGGACGGGUGGGUAAUGCUUAGGAAUCUGCCUAUUAGUGGGGGACAACAUUCCGAAAGGAAUGCUAAUACCGCAUACGUCCUACGGGAGAAAGCAGGGGAUCUUCGGACCUUGCGCUAAUAGAUGAGCCUAAGUCGGAUUAGCUAGUUGGGGGGGUAAAGGCCUACCAAGGCGACGAUCUGUAGCGGGUCUGAGGGGAUGAUCCGCCACACUGGGACUGAGACACGGCCCAGACUCCUACGGGAGGCAGCAGUGGGGAAGAUUGGGCAAUGGGGGGAACCCUGAUCCAGCCAUGCCGCGUGUGUGAAGAAGGCCUUAUGGUUGUAAAGCACUUUAAGCGAGGAGGAGGCUACUGAGACUAAUACUCUUGGAUAGUGGACGUUACUCGCAGAAUAAGCACCGGCUAACUCUGUGCCAGCCGCCGCCGUAA
rnacentral:rRNA from 1 species